UACGUAGGUGACAAGCGUUGUCCGGAUUUACUGGGCGUAAAGAGCGCGCAGGCGGUCGAUCAAGUCGAGUGUGAAAGCCCCCGGCUCAACUGGGGAGGGUCGUGCGAUACGGUCGGGCUGGAGGCCAGUAGGGGGAUGCGGAAUUCCGGGUGUAGCGGUGAAAUGCGUAGAUAUCUGGAGGAACACCGGUGGCGAAGGCGGCAUCCUGGACCGAUACUGACGCUGAGGAGCGAAAGCCAGGGGAGCAAACGGG
rnacentral:rRNA from 1 species